CUUAGCCUGGGUUCCACCUCCCCUCAUCUAUUUCACGCCGUAUUACGAAGAACCUCAUUCUGCCCUGUCACACAGGGAGAGCACCUGCAAGAACAGACUCAAUUGCACACACGGGGUCUACUCCACACAGAAUGCCACUGAGAGAAGGAACCCUAUACUUUUGUGAAGCCUGAUCCCUCUCACAACGCGCCCUCAAAUGGACUCCGUUAGUGGUUGACCAAGAAAUUAAAGCUUCAGCAGGGCUGGGAAUCUGGGCCCACACCCCUCUCAGCCUACGGGCACUUCUUACUGGGUAGCCAUACCUCCAACGAGCCAUCAUGCUGUGAACAAGAUGGAAUGUGACACCUUUCCCAUAGAGGAUACGUAUGCAGCUCGGGUCUAAGCCAGUCUAAGCUACCACCUCUAUCCUAGAACAGAAACUGCAUCAAGAAUGAAACAAAAGCCAGACCAGCAGGACCAGAGACAGCUUAGUGAUGACGAAGAAAACAUCUUGCUCUUUCUUGAGAGCUCCUGGAAAUGGCCAUCUCUCAGACUAUGCUAGGACGCACAUGGAAAUUCGUCAGCAGCCAAAUGGACACCUACAGAUGAGACCAGACUCACAGUGAGCCUUACUCUGUGGAAUUGAAGAAGAUGAAAUUGUCAAAGUAAGCCAUAUCUUAGUAUUGGGUAAUAAGAUCACAGGUCAAGCCACCAAACUUGAUUCCAAGUAUUCUUCACGACUGCUUGGUAGUGUCUUCUGACACUUGACAUGAACUUGCAUGAAGCAACCAUGGGGACAAAGGCUUCGGACCAUAG